ACGGGGGGGGCAAGCGUUGUUCGGAAUUACUGGGCGUAAAGGGUUCGUAGGUGGCCAUUUUAGUCAGACGUGAAAUCCCUCAGCUUAACUGGGGAACUGCGUCUGAUACUGGAUGGCUUGAGUGCAGGAGAGGAACGCGGAAUUCCAGGUGUAGCGGUGAAAUGCGUAGAUAUCUGGAGGAACACCGGUGGCGAAGGCGGCGUUCUGGACUGUAACUGACACUGAGGAACGAAAGCCAGGGGAGCAAACGGG
rnacentral:rRNA from 1 species